ensembl:lncRNA
UCCUAUUGGCUAUUUUAUUACAUCAGUGUUAACAUUCAAUUCAUUGCAAGCUUCCACGGAUUUUCAUUCCAGCCCAUCCAAAUCCCUGUACAAAACUAAGUUAACCUUGACAAAGCUGUAUCCUUUUCAGCUGAAUUUAAAGUUAGAAAAAUGGAACUCAUUCUAACACACCUUAAAGAUUUUUCUUCCAAAUCUGCCACAUUUAAUAGCCAACAUACAACAGAAGUUUUUUCCUGCAGAUAUUACCAAGCGGAAGAUGGACAAAGUCGACAGAGCUUAGACAUAGAAAGUGCUUUGGCUUCACUCAAAAAAGAACUGAUGGAGAUUCGGUAUUUGGACCAAAUGUUGAUUAAACAGCUAAUGGAACUUCAUGCUGGUAUCCAAGACCUGAAACAGGACUACAGUGACUUGAUGGCAAUAGAGUCAGACUGUGACACAGCCGGCAACCAUUCCAGCUCUGAAGAUGCCUGCCCUGUUGUUUUGUUAUCAGGGCCUGUCUUUCAUGAAUUGCCUUCCUGGAAGGUCUCCUACAGAAGAAGUUCAAUGCCAUGAUAUUCUACUGAUAACUUGCCAAACAGCUAUGGCUUUGCACAUCUCAAAUCAGGAGUCUCACUCCAUAACAUAAUGUUGCCAUAAGUGUAUUUCAUGUCAUUUUUGAUGUGAUUGUUAUAUUUAGUACUGUACAUACACAGUAUAAGAAUUUCUAAAACUGUAUACAAUUAUAAAUAGUCCAGAUAACAAAUAGAACAUUUACAGUGGGUAUCAAUUUUAACAGGCAUCAAAAGAAUACUGAUUUCUGAGAGUUCUCUCCCUAAAGGUACGUGAUAUGAGCAAGGAAUUAAAACAGAGUUCACACAUAUAGUAGUUGUUCAAGACUAAUAAUAUUUAGCUUUUCUAGAGGGUCCUAUCCUGUUAGAUAAAAAUUCAGGGUGUUCCAAAUCUGGCAGAGGGUGCUUAUCACCUUGCAGGUUUGGACCCACAGUGUGAUUUACAUUUUCAAAGUACUUUAGGUACAUUAAAUAAUCCAAUCUAAUUAAAUAGGCCAGUAUUGUAAAAUAAUUAACUGCAAAUUACAAUUGACCAGAGUGAAGGGGUCUAAGCAGCAGAAGUUACUGACCUUCUGUGGCACAUGCAUCCAAUGAAGUGGGUAUUCACCCACGAAAGCUCAUGCUCUAAUACGUCUGUUAGUCUAUAAGGUGCCACAGGACUCUUUGCUGCUUUUACAGAUCCAGACUAACAUGGCUACCCCUCUGAAAGAUGAUAAUGUCUUCUUUCCUGGAGCUAGGAUGAAGUUAUUUUUCUAAUACAACCCACCAGUUUGUGCACUGGUCAUCCAUGGGAGGGGUCUUUCAGUGCUCCCAUUACUGGCACUAUACAAACAACAAACAAUAAUCAUUCAUAAUUCACCUCCUAUGCAGGUCAUCACUUCUGAUUCCAUACAGCCAGUCAUGCCCUCUCCGGCACUAGCUUUGUGCUCAGUCACUGUGGAUGCCCACUUCAGUAGCUCAGCACCAGAGGUGGCUACCAUUUUAGAACAGAAUCUUAAGGACUUAAGAGCCUGAGCCAAAACCCAUUGAGUCACAAUGCAGAGACUCCCACUGACUUCGACGGGCAUUGGAGCAAGUCCCAAAUAUUUUAAAACCCAUUUUAUUUUUUUAAAGGUAAAUGUAUGUAUAAGUGUGGUUAGAGCUUGUCAAAAAGGCAGAUGUUUGUCCACAGAACAGACAGAGCAAAGACAGGGCCAGAUUCCCCAAUCCACUAAUCCAAAUUAUUUUAACUCUGUCCUGGAGAGGCCACUGCUAGGGGAAGUGAUGAGACAGUGAUGUCCCUAUGUUCCCUCAACUGCUGACCUUUGCUGAGGCUGCUAACAAAAGUGUAAGUUAAUGCCAGUGGGAGCGGUGGUUUUCAUGAUGUGGAUACUUGGCCACUAGGAAGAACGUGGACUGAGAACACCGAAUCAUUGUACACAGGCCACUCAACCGCUGCUGGAUGCUAGCUACUUUCCGUUUUCACAACCUUGUCAGAAUUCAAACCAGAGACAGAAAAGAGAAGGGUUUUCUAUCUCCAUUACCAAUUCCCCCAGGCAUCCAUUCCCCUACAGGGUCCCCCUCUGAGAAAUAGCAAAUUAGACUAAAAUGGAGCUGAAUGAUUCUUUAAAGGAGUAUCCUGAGAACUGAAGAGUCUCUGUCCCAAGAAGACAGUUUUCUUAGGGAUAUUGAGACUCCCAAAAGUUUGCAUGAGCUAACUCACACCUGUAUUCUGCAGGUACAAACACUCAUCCAUGCCUCUUAAACAGUUUGCACCAAAAGGUGUAAGGCUUGUGCAACUUCAGGCACUAGAUUGCUUAAAGGACAUGCACAGUGCCUGCACCUAUGAAGUGCAGGCACAAGUCUGAUCACACAUUCACAAUUUUGUCAUGCAAGAAUAGAGGCGAAGGACUAAAAGCCAGCCCUUGAUGAGAAGGAAGAUGAACUGCAGGUGUCUAUUUAGUUUCUAGUACAGCACUUUCUGAAAAUGAAAAGUGACAAAAUAAAUUAAAUGGCAAUACCUCA